GAAAUGCGAUAAGUAGUGUGAAUUGCAGAAUUCAGUGAAUCAUCGAAUCUUUGAACGCACAUUACGCCCUUUGGUAUUCCUUAGGGCAUGCCUGUUCGAGCGUCAUCUAAACCUUCAAGCCCUGCUUGGUGUUGGGUGCCUGUCCCGCCUCCGCGCGCGGACUCACCUCAAAUCCAUUGGCGGCCCCCGCGUCGGCCACGAGCGCAGCAGAAACGCGAACUCGUGAGCCCGUCCGGGCGGCUCCCAGAAGCUACACCCACCCAGUUUGACCUCGGAUCAGGUAGGGAUACCCGCUGAACUUAAGC
rnacentral:misc_RNA from 1 species